rnacentral:rRNA from 1 species
CUGGCGGCGUGCUUAACACAUGCAAGUCGAACGAUGAUCCCAGCUUGCUGGGGGAUUAGUGGCGAACGGGUGAGUAACACGUGAGUAACCUGCCCUUGACUCUGGGAUAAGCCUGGGAAACUGGGUCUAAUACCGGAUACGACCAUCUGGCGCAUGUCAUGGUGGUGGAAAGCUUUUGUGGUUUUGGAUGGACUCGCGGCCUAUCAGCUUGUUGGUGGGGUAAUGGCCUACCAAGGCGACGACGGGUAGCCGGCCUGAGAGGGUGACCGGCCACACUGGGACUGAGACACGGCCCAGACUCCUACGGGAGGCAGCAGUGGGGAAUAUUGCACAAUGGGCGAAAGCCUGAUGCAGCGACGCCGCGUGAGGGAUGACGGCCUUCGGGUUGUAAACCUCUUUCAGUAGGGAAGAAGCGAAAGUGACGGUACCUGCAGAAGAAGCGCCGGCUAACUACGUGCCAGCAGCCGCGGUAAUACGUAGGGCGCAAGCGUUAUCCGGAAUUAUUGGGCGUAAAGAGCUCGUAGGCGGUUUGUCGCGUCUGCUGUGAAAGACCGGGGCUCAACUCCGGUUCUGCAGUGGGUACGGGCAGACUAGAGUGCAGUAGGGGAGACUGGAAUUCCUGGUGUAGCGGUGAAAUGCGCAGAUAUCAGGAGGAACACCGAUGGCGAAGGCAGGUCUCUGGGCUGUAACUGACGCUGAGGAGCGAAAGCAUGGGGAGCGAACAGGAUUAGAUACCCUGGUAGUCCAUGCCGUAAACGUUGGGCACUAGGUGUGGGGGACAUUCCACGUUUUCCGCGCCGUAGCUAACGCAUUAAGUGCCCCGCCUGGGGAGUACGGCCGCAAGGCUAAAACUCAAAGGAAUUGACGGGGGCCCGCACAAGCGGCGGAGCAUGCGGAUUAAUUCGAUGCAACGCGAAGAACCUUACCAAGGCUUGACAUGAA